ACAAAGCUGGACGGGCCCGCUGUCCAACUUUUACCAUCUGUUUUAAAUACUGUGGGAAAUGAUGUGACCAAAAUGACAUUAAACACACCCAUUCCAAACGUCUCCUCAUUGUGGACGUUUAUCUCCUCGUCCUCCUCAGCCAUGGCCUGCAGGAGCCCGCAGUCCAUGUUGGUCACGUCCUCCCCAUCGCUCCACUCACCUCCAUUCUCAGGCCACUGGGGCUCACACGCUUUUUCGGACUCCUGGGCGGAUGGAGACAACGUGGGGCCGACGUGUGACGGUGACUUUCACCGCGGGGCUACCUGCUUUCUCUCGUCAGACAGCGGGGGAGGCUCAUCAACUUUUAAAUGAACUCACCUGUGCGGUGCAGCGGCGUGCUCACGUCAACGCGCUUGCACGUAGCUGUCAUCUCGCCUCGACCGUGGGCUGCAGUUCGUGAAUAUUUCGUUGGGCUUACGAUUGGAUGAACCAUUGAGUUAAAACCCCGCCGCCGUUAUUUUUUAAAAUCCCGGACACGCUCAGGAUGCUGCCUUUGAUUCUGAUGCGGUUAUAAAUGCUCCGGUCCCUUUUUCGGAGCAGCAGUGGGCGAAGAGUGACAUCUAGUGGAGAAACUGCAUUUUCAGGCCGCAGACGAAGUUCGGAUUCACUGUUAUUUUGGGGGAAACUUACUUACAACCCAAGAAUUUACACCACAUGUAUGGAAUAAUUGAUUUGUUCUACACAGGG